rnacentral:tRNA from 1 species
AAGAAGGUGGCAGAUCGGUUAUGUGAUUGGUUUGAACCUAAUUCAAGGGGGUUCAAUUCCCUCCCUUCUCG